rnacentral:rRNA from 1 species
GAGCACGUAGGUGGGUUUGUAAGUCAGAUGUGAAAGCCUUCUGUUCAACUGAAGAAUUGCAUCUGAAACUGCGAGUCUUGAGUGUAGGAGGGGAGAAUGGAACUUCUGGUGGAGCGGUGAAAUGCGUAGAUAUCAGAAGGAACGCCGGCGGCGAAAGCGAUUCUCUGGCCUAUUACUGACACUCAGUGUGCGAAAGCUAGGGGAGCAAACGGGAUUAGAUACCCCGGUAGUCCUAGCCGUAAACGAUGGGCACUAAGUAGAGGGGUUUU